GGCUGACAGCUACAACCUGUAAGGCCGGUUUCCACGUGACUCUGACGUGUUUUUACUCUCUGGAUUUCUGAGGGUGUGAAGGCGUCCUCAGAUCAGAUGCAGGCAGACUCAGGACUGAAGAGGAAGAAAUGAGCAGAGUUUCCUUCUCACCUGAAGAGAGUCUGGUGUGAAGGCGUCCUCAGAUCAGAUGCAGGCAGACUCAGGACUGAAGAGGAAGAAAUGAGCAGAGUUUCCUUCUCACCUGAAGAGAGUCUGUGCAACUGUGUGGCUUUUAUCCUGGAUAAAGUGUUUAAGUCAUGGAUGUUAAAAGUUGAACGUCUUCAUAUUUGUCUAACAUGAUAGUUUACUAUUCAAUCAUGAAGUAUGACGCUGCGCUGUCAGUACGCAUGUCCAUGUUUGUGAAACCCUGGUUGAUUUACUGAGUUGAUAACCAGCGUCGUAGGACCACUUAGCGAGAUGUCGUUUGUUAGGGUUAGUGUUGUAUCUUGUGAUCAA